rnacentral:lncRNA from 1 species
CCUGGAUGCUGCCCACAUUGCAGCUGCCAUCUUCUUGCCACUGGUGGCGAUGGUGUUGUUGGUAGGAGGUGUAUACUUCUACUUCUCCAGGAGGAGAUGCCACCAAGCCCUCAAGAAGUUGUGCCCUUCCCCGCCUGCGAUGCCCACCAUGGCCUAUUUUCUUGGUGUCAUUGCCCACUUGGGGCCCUUCAUUGGGCCCAUGUCAGGGGGCAUCUACCUGUGGGAAGAACAUAGCUGGAGCACAAGCAUCAACAGCCAGCAUCCUGAGCCUCCUCAUGCCCUGGACCAGCCUGGAACACACUAGCAGAGCAGGAGUACCUUUCUCCACAUGACCACCAUCCCGCCCUGGCAUGGCAACCUGCAGCAGGAUUAACUUGACCAUGGUGGGAACUGCACCAGGGUACUCCUCACAGCGCCAUCACCAAUGGCCAAAACUCCUCUCAACGGUGACCUCUGGGUAGUCCUGGCAUGCCAACAUCAGCCUCUUGGGAGGUCUCUAGUUCUCUAAAGUUCUGGACAGUUCUGCCUCCUGCCCUGUCCCAGUGGAGGCAGUAAUUCUAGGAGAUCCUAAGGGGUUCAGGGGGACCCUACCCCCACCUCAGGUUGGGCUUCCCUGGGCACUCAUGCUCCACACCAAAGCAGGACACGCCAUUUUCCACUGACCACCCUAUACCCUGAGGAAAGGGAGACUUUCCUCCGAUGUUUAUUUAGCUGUUGCAAACAUCUUCACCCUAAUAGUCCCUCCUCCAAUUCCAGCCACUUGUCAGGCUCUCCUCUUGACCACUGUGUUAUGGGAUAAGGGGAGGG